rnacentral:rRNA from 1 species
AGUUAACACCUGCAUUAUUUGACGUUACCUACAGAAGAAGCGCCGGCUAACUCCGUGCCAGCAGCCGCGGUAAUACGGAGGGUGCGAGCGUUAAUCGGAAUUACUGGGCGUAAAGCGCAUGCAGGCGGCCUGUUAAGUCAGAUGUGAAAGCCCGGGGCGUUAACCUCGGAAUUGCAUUUGUAAACUGGCAGGCUAGAGUCUUGUAGAGGGGGGUAGGAAUUUCAGGUGUAGCGGUGAAAUGCGUAGAGAUCUGAAGGAAUACCAGUGGCGAAGGCGGCCCCCUGGACAAAGACUGACGCUCAGAUGCGAAAGCGUGGGGAGCAAACAGGAUUAGAUACCCCUGGUAG